ACUCCUUUAAAGAAGAAGUUUCUGAGUAGUUUUUCUAUGGCUGUGAUGCUUGGUCUAUCGUGGGUCACUGGUUACAUUUUGCUUUUCACCCAAGAUCCAACUCUUCACCUCAUCCUGAGCAUAGUUUUUUGUGUCUGCAACACAACACAGGGCAUACAAAUAUUUAUUUUAUUCACUCUGAAAUCCGUAAUAAAAUCAAAUCCAGCCAUUCUUAAUGCUAUGAAUGCACCCAAAGUUGGCAUUCACAGGAAAGUGUUCUUCCUAUGGAAAGUUAAGGCAGAAGAAAACAUUGAAAUCUACAGACCCACUGAUCCUGACUCCGCUGAGAUGUCUCAGGUCAUCACUGAGCUGAAGUAGAUCACUGGAGGCUGUGGCUGUGCUGCAUGAUCACAUCAGUAUAAAGGCACAACAUGAAGUAAAUCUCUGUGAAAGACCUCCUUAAAUGGAUGCUGAGGAAGGGGGAUACCAACUUGAAUUAUGGUGGAUGCAUGACAACAUGGCAGAUUGGUGUCAUUAUUUAAAAAAACCAGUUUGAUUUAAUUUAGUAUGCAACUUAGUUUUAUAUAACAGGCAUUUUAGAUGCGUGUCAAUUUCUCUAAUUGCAUUAAAUCUUUUUUUAAUUCAGAAACCGAUCACAGGCAACACUUUUUACAGUUAAAGUUGAACAAUGAAAUUAUUGUUUGAAUUACAGACAAUUAUUUUCACAGUUAUUAUCACUAACAUACAUCUUCUGAAAAAUUGCAAUGAUACCAUGUAGUUCAUAUAUUUAAUCAUUUUCUGUUUUUCUUUUCAU